UGGGGAAUUUUGGACAAUGGGCGCAAGCCUGAUCCAGCCAUGCCGCGUGCGGGAAGAAGGCCUUCGGGUUGUAAACCGCUUUUGUCAGGGAAGAAAUCUUCUGAGUUAAUACCUCGGGAGGAUGACGGUACCUGAAGAAUAAGCACCGGCUAACUACGUGCCAGCAGCCGCGGUAAUACGUAGGGUGCAAGCGUUAAUCGGAAUUACUGGGCGUAAAGCGUGCGCAGGCGGUUUUGUAAGACAGAGGUGAAAUCCCCGGGCUCAACCUGGGAACUGCCUUUGUGACUGCAAGGCUUGAGUGCGGCAGAGGGGGAUGGAAUUCCGCGUGUAGCAGUGAAAUGCGUAGAUAUGCGGAGGAACACCGAUGGCGAAGGCAAUCCCCUGGGCCUGCACUGACGCUCAUGCACGAAAGCGUGGGGAGCAAACAGGAUUAGAUACCCUGGUAGUCCACGCCCUAAACGAUGUCAACUGGUUGUUGGGAAGGUUCCUUCUCAGUAACGUAGCUAACGCGUGAAGUUGACCGCCUGGGGAGUACGGCCGCAAGGUUGAAACUCAAAUGAAUUGACGGGGUCAUAGCUGUUUCC
rnacentral:rRNA from 1 species